UACGGGGGGGGCAAGCGUUGUUCGGAAUUACUGGGCGUAAAGGGCUCGUAGGUGGCCAACUAAGUCAGACGUGAAAUCCCUCAGCUUAACUGGGGAACUGCGUCUGAUACUGGAUGGCUUGAGUUUGGGAGAGGGAUGCGGAAUUCCAGGUGUAGCGGUGAAAUGCGUAGAUAUCAGGAGGAACACCGGUGGCGAAGGCGGCUUGCUGGGCCAGUUCUGACGCUGAGGAGCGAAAGCGUGGGGAGCGAACAGG
rnacentral:rRNA from 1 species